rnacentral:rRNA from 1 species
CGGGGUGAGUAACGCGUGGGUAACCUGCCUCAUACAGGGGGAUAACAGUUAGAAAUGACUGCUAAUACCGCAUAAGCGCACAGUACCACAUGGUACGGUGUGAAAAACUCCGGUGGUAUGAGAUGGACCCGCGUCUGAUUAGCUAGUUGGUGAGGUAACGGCUCACCAAGGCGACGAUCAGUAGCCAACCUGAGAGGGUGAUCGGCCACAUUGGGACUGAGACACGGCCCAA